CAGCAGCCGCGGUAAAACAGAGGGUGCGAGCGUUAAUCGGAUUUACUGGGCGUAAAGCGUGCGUAGGCGGCUUCUUAAGUCGGAUGUGAAAUCCCUGAGCUUAACUUAGGAAUUGCAUUCGAUACUGGGAAGCUAGAGUAUGGGAGAGGAUGGUAGAAUUCCAGGUGUAGCGGUGUAAUGCGUAGAGAUCUGGAGGAAUACCGAUGGCGAAGGCAGCCAUCUGGCCUAAUACUGACGCUGAGGUACGAAAGCAUGGGGAGCAAACAGGAUUAGAGACCCCGGUAGUCCCUGUCUCUUAUAC
rnacentral:rRNA from 1 species